rnacentral:rRNA from 1 species
CACCGCGGUUACACGAAAGGCUCAAGUUGAUAGACAUCGGCGUAAAGGGUGGUUAAUAAGAGAAGUCAUACUAAAGCUGAACGCCUUCAAGGCCGUUAUACGUUUCCGAAGGUGGGAAGUUCACCCACGAAAGUGGCUUUAAGCAACUAUGACCCCACGAAAGCUAGGGCA